AUUGAACGCUGGCGGCAGGCCUAACACAUGCAAGUCGAACGAGUGGCGGACGGGUGAGUAAUGUCUGGGAAACUGCCUGAUGGAGGGGGAUAACUACUGGCAACGGUAGCUAAUACCGCAUACCCUCAUCUUUGCCAAGAUGGGAUUAGAUUGUUGGUGGGGUAACGGCGCACACGGGCGACGAUCCCCAGCUGGUUUGAGAGGAAGAACAGGCAGACUGGGACGGAAAAACGGCCAAGAGUCUAACGGGAGGAAGAAGGGGGGAAUAAUGCACAAUGGGCGAAAGCCUAAAGCAGCCAGGCCGGGUGUAUGAAGAAGGCCUUCGGGUUGGAAAGUACUUUCAGCGGGGAGGCGUUACCCACAGAAGAAGCACAGGCUAACUACGUGCCAGCAGCCGCGGUAAUAC
rnacentral:rRNA from 1 species